UACGAAGGGGGCUAGCGUUGCUCGGAAUGACUGGGCGUAAAGGGCGCGUAGGCGGAUGGCCUUGUCGGGCGUGAAAUUCCAGGGCUUAACCUUGGGGCUGCGUUCGAGACGGGUUGUCUUGAGUGGGGAAGAGGGUCGUGGAAUUCCCAGUGUAGAGGUGAAAUUCGUAGAUAUUGGGAAGAACACCGGUGGCGAAGGCGGCGACCUGGUCCUUUACUGACGCUGAGGCGCGAAAGCGUGGGGAGCAAACAGG
rnacentral:rRNA from 1 species